AAGGGGGAUAUAGAAAUAGGCUCCGUCCGUCCGUCUGUCCGUCCGUCCGUCACACUUUCGUGUCCAGUCCAUAACUUUGUCAUUUAUGAAAGGAAUUUGAAAUAACAUGGCACAAAUGUUUAUUAUAAUAAGACGAUGUGUCAUGCGCAAAAACCAGUCACCUACCUUCAAGGUCAAGGUCACACUUGGAGGUCAAAUAUUAACAUAGUCUGUUACAGGGUAUAUUUCGUGUCUGGUCCAUAACUUUGUCAUUUAUGAAAGGAAUUUGAAAUAACUUGGCACAAAUGUUUGUUAUAAUAAGACGAUGUGACAUGCGCAACAACCAGACCCGUACCUUCAGGGUCAAGGUCGUACUUGCUCAUUCAAGGUUAACAUUGUCUAUUUGAGGGUAUAUGUCGUGUCCGGUCCAUUACUUUCUUAUCUAUGAAGGGAUUUUGUAAAUACUUGCCAUAAUUGUUCACAAUAAUCAGAUGAUGUGUCAUGCGCAAAAACCGGUCACCUACCUCCAAGGUCAAGGUCACACUUAGAGGUCAAAGAUUUACAUAGUCUGUUAUAGGGUAUAUUUUGUGUCCAAUCUAUAACUUCUUCAUAGUUCAAGGGAUUUUGAAAAUACUUGGCACAAAUAGUCUCAAUAAUAAGACGUUAUGUCAUGCACAACAACCUGCUCCCCUAUCUCCAAGGUCAAGGUCACACUUAGAGGUCAAAGCUUAACAUGAUAGAUUUUUAAAUUCCGUGUUUCAUUUUAUUUUUUUAACAAAUUUAUUGUUACAUUUGCAGAUCUAGCAUUGAUCAUAAUUUUGGACUGAAUGUCCUGAGAUCCAUACCUCAAUCUUUUGAAAUAGCACAAUUUUAUGCUUCAUAUAAAACUCCCGGGCCGGGGGACGUUGGUAACUCUGUUACAAAUUCUUGUUUAGAUU